AGUGGCGGACGGGUGAGUAAUGUCUGGGAAACUGCCUGAUGGAGGGGGAUAACUACUGGAAACGGUAGCUAAUACCGCAUAAUGUCGCAAGACCAAAGAGGGGGACCUUCGGGCCUCUUGCCAUCGGAUGUGCCCAGAUGGGAUUAGCUUGUUGGUGGGGUAACGGCUCACCUAGGCGACGAUCCCUAGCUGGUCUGAGAGGAUGACCAGCCACACUGGAACUGAGACACGGUCCAGACUCCUACGGGAGGCAGCAGUGGGGAAUAUUGCACAAUGGGCGCAAGCCUGAUGCAGCCAUGCCGCGUGUAUGAAGAAGGCCUUCGGGUUGUAAAGUACUUUCAGCGGGGAGGAAGGGAGUAAAGUUAAUACCUUUGCUCAUUGACGUUACCCGCAGAAGAAGCACCGGCUAACUCCGUGCCAGCAGCCGCGGUAAUACGGAGGGUGCAAGCGUUAAUCGGAAUUACUGGGCGUAAAGCGCACGCAGGCGGUUUGUUAAGUCAGAUGUGAAAUCCCCGGGCUCAACCUGGGAACUGCAUCUGAUACUGGCAAGCUUGAGUCUCGUAGAGGGGGGUAGAAUUCCAGGUGUAGCGGUGAAAUGCGUAGAGAUCUGGAGGAAUACCGGUGG
rnacentral:rRNA from 1 species